AAAACUUUCAACAACGGAUCUCUUGGUUCUGGCAUCGAUGAAGAACGCAGCGAAAUGCGAUACGUAAUGUGAAUUGCAGAAUCCAGUGAACCAUCGAAUCUUUGAACGCACAUUGCGCCCGCCAGUACUCUGGCGGGCAUGCCUGUCCGAGCGUCAUUUCAACCCUCAAGCCCUGCUUGGUGUUGGGGACCGGCGAUGACCUCUCCGCAGGGAGCGAAUCGCCGC
rnacentral:rRNA from 1 species